CACAACCUGACUGCUCCCACAAAGUAAUUUACUAUAAGAAAUGAUUUGAAUCAUUAUAUAAACCAUGAAGAACACAGAUAAAGGUUAAACAAGAAUAAAUUCUGAGAAUAAGCAAAAGCAAAAGUACGUGCUAAAUUAAACAAACAUGCAUGUUUUCCAAUACAACCUGACUUGGAAAAUUACAAUUAUUUAAGCAAAAAAUAUUUCUGAUAAAGGAUAGAAAAAAAAGAACAGGAUAUAUUCCAUAUCGUAGAGAUUAGUAUAAACAGUUGGCUCACUAGAAAAUAGUAUUCCAAAACAACGUAAGAACACAUAAAAAGAAUAUCAGAAUUAUAUUUUCUCCCGUCUUUUCUUAUCAACCAAACAGAGCAGAUAAAUUAAAAACAAAAGACAGAAGAAUUUGGAGUAUCACUAACCUGACAGAAGUAGG
rnacentral:misc_RNA from 1 species